rnacentral:rRNA from 1 species
AUACGGAGGGUGCAAGCGUUACUGGGAAUCACUGGGCGUAAAGCGCGCGCAGGCGGUCUUUUAAGUUGGAUGUGAAAGCCUACGGCUCAACCGUAGAACUGCAUCCAAAACUAUUAGACUAGAGUGUGGGAGAGGAAGAUGGAAUUAGUUGUGUAGGGGUAAAAUCCGUAGAGAUAACUAGGAAUACCAAAAGCGAAGGCAAUCUUCUGGAACACUACUGACGCUGAGGCGCGAAAGCGUGGGGAGCAAACGGGAUUAGAUACCCUAGUAGUCC